UAUUGGACAAUGGGGGGAACCCUGAUCCAGCGAUGCCGCGUGAGUGAAGAAGGCCUUCGGGUCGUAAAGCUCUUUAGGUUGGGAAGAAGGGUAUUGGAGGAAAUGCUAAUACUUUGACGGUACCGACAGAAUAAGCACCGGCAAACUCUGUGCCAGCAGCCGCGGUAAUACAGAGGGUGCGAGCGUUAAUCGGAAUUACUGGGCGUAAAGGGCGCGUAGGCGGUUUUGUGAGUGUGAUGUGAAAGCCCCGGGCUUAACCUGGGAAGUGCAUCGCAAACGAUAGAACUGGAGUAUAUGAGAGGGUGGCGGAAUUUCCGGUGUAGCGGUGAAAUGCGUAGAGAUCGGAAGGAACGUCGAUGGCGAAGGCAGCCACCUGGCAUAAUACUGACGCUGAGGCGCGAAAGCGUGGGUAGCGAACAG
rnacentral:rRNA from 1 species